rnacentral:rRNA from 1 species
UACGUAGGCAGCAAGCGUUGUUCGGAGUUACUGGGCGUAAAGGGCGGGUAGGCGGCCACUGCAAGUCGGUUGUGAAAUCUCCGGGCUUAACCCGGAAAGGUCAACCGAUACUGCAGGGCUAGAGUGCAGAAGGGGCAACUGGAAUUCUCGGUGUAGCGGUGAAAUGCGUAGAUAUCGAGAGGAACACCUGCGGCGAAGGCGGGUUGCUGGGCUGACACUGACGCUGAUGCGCGAAAGCCAGGGGAGCGAACGGG